rnacentral:rRNA from 1 species
GUCUUUGAACGCAAGUUGCGCCCGAAGCCAUUAGGCCGAGGGCACGUCUGCCUGGGCGUCUCGCAACGCGUCGCCCCCCCCCACCCGCCUAGCCAAGCGCUGCGGGCUCCGGGGGGCGGAUGGUGGCCUCCCGUGCGCGGGCAACGCGAGCGGCUGGUCGAAAAACGAGUCCCCGACGACGGGCGUCACGACAAGUGGUGGUUGAGAGACCCUCGGUCGCGUCGCGUCGUGCGCGCCACCGUCGUCGACGGCGGGCUCAAGUGACCCCUGCGCACCGGCACCCCGUGCCGUGUGCCUCGACCGCGACCCCAGGUCAGGCGGGACCACCCGCUGAGUUUAAGCAUAUCAAUAAGCGGAGGAAGAGAAACUUACAAGGAUUCCCCUAGUAACGGCGAGCGAACCGGGAACAGCCCA